rnacentral:tRNA from 1 species
GGGGCUAUAGUUAACAAUAACAUUUGAAUUGCACUCAAAAAGUACUGCCAAGACAACAUGCCGCAGUUAGCCUCA